CCAAAACCCCUGUGACAUACCACUUGUUGCCUCGGCGGAUCAGCCCGCUCCCGGUAAAACGGGACGGCCCGCCAGAGGACCCCUAAACUCUGUUUCUAUAUGUAACUUCUGAGUAAAACCAUAAAUAAAUCAAAACUUUCAACAACGGAUCUCUUGGUUCUGGCAUCGAUGAAGAACGCAGCAAAAUGCGAUAAGUAAUGUGAAUUGCAGAAUUCAGUGAAUCAUCGAAUCUUUGAACGCACAUUGCGCCCGCCAGUAUUCUGGCGGGCAUGCCUGUUCGAGCGUCAUUUCAACCCUCAAGCACAGCUUGGUGUUGGGACUCGCGUUAAUUCGCGUUCCUCAAAUUGAUUGGCGGUCACGUCGAGCUUCCAUAGCGUAGUAGUAAAACCCUCGUUACUGGUAAUCGUCGCGGCCACGCCGUUAAACCCCAACUUCUGAAUGUUGACCUCGGAUCAGGUAGGAAUACCCGCUGAACUUAAGCAUAUCAAUAAGCGGAGGA
rnacentral:rRNA from 1 species